rnacentral:tRNA from 1 species
GCGCCUGUAGCUCAGCUGGAUAGAGCAGCGGAUUCCGGUUCCGCUUGCCGGGGGUUCGAAUCCUCUCAGGCGCGCCA